rnacentral:rRNA from 1 species
UACGUAGGCAGCGAGCGUUGUUCGGAGUUACUGGGCGUAAAGGGUGUGUAGGCGGUUGUUUAAGUUUGGUGUGAAAUCUCCCGGCUCAACUGGGAGGUGCGCCGAAUACUGAAUGACUUGGAGUGCGGGAGAGGUGAGUGGAAUUCCUGGUGUAGCGGUGAAAUGCGUAGAUAUCAGGAGGAACACCGGUGGUGUAGACGGCUCACUGGACCGUAACUGACGCUGAGACACGAAAGCGUGGGUAGCAAACAGG